GUCUGACUCGAGAGAGAAGCGGUAGCGUUAUACGGGGGCACACAAAGAGAAGCCCGCGUUCUGUCGGUAAACAGGAGACAAGAACGCGUGACGACGACUCGAGCCGGAAUCAGUGGGUCAGUGGUGUGCUCGCUGACGAAUCCGAAAAAAAACGAACAGGAUCAUUCGAUACGACAUCCUUGGUCGAGGCACGUUUGCGGCUUCUCCGCAACGCAUUCGUCAGCCGUGCUCUUUGACAACGUCGGCUUCUCUCAUUCAAAAGCGGUCACGAACUACGCAGCUGAGACUGGCGUUGAGCCGCUCCUCGUGCCUGCCUAUGCUCCCUGCGUCGGUCAAGUCAGAGGCGUCUUCGUGGUGAUCAAAUGUCAUGUUUGCGUUCACGGAUCAAUGCACGAGCACUUCGCAUCCCGAACACCGGUCUUCCGCAAAUCGUGCUUCGACCAGUGGUGAUCGUCGAUUCCAGGUACGGCCGGUUCCCCGUGGCCAACGCUGUACCUCUUCAUCCGGAGGAGAGAUCCAACGCCUGGAUGGAGAGUAAUCGGAUCUGCUCAAUUCUUCCGGGGCUCGUUAUCUUCGGGCGUCCGGCGGCAUGCCAGUGAAUGGAAUACCGACUUCCGCAUCCAUAUCGACGCUCUCAGCACAGUAUCUAAGAGAAGCGAGUCUUUCUGCGCUGUAUUCAGGGUGCGUCCAUGAGACCGCGCUGCGGUCGUCGACGAUUUUCGGUAGCAUCGCGUCAAGGAGCGCGUGCUCACGAAAUGAUUCUUCGAGUUGGAAACGGAGAUCGCUGAUAACUCGCGUUCUCCCAUCGUAGCUGAUGGCGCUGGACAUGCUGGAGCGCGCAGAGCCAGCACUCCUGAUUCUAUGAUAAGCGCGUAUCCAACAAGUGCAGUCAUCGAUUUUACACGAUUCCCGUCGAUGCGUUGAGGGUGCCGUCCACGAAUCAUGGGCAGGUUUGCACCUUGAAACAACUCGGUAAGCAGUGCGUGAAACAGAGACAGAUGUCCGAGAUUGGUGCACGAACCGUUAACCGAAAGUCGAAUGGCGCGAAAAAUCGAAAGUGAGCGGCUCGCUAGCGUCUGCUGCCACCAGCAGCAACCGAGCGCACAAGCACUUUCCUUACCGAGAUCUGAACGCCUCAAUCAACCUUCGGAAAUAUCGUCUGUUUCCAAAGCGUCUACUGGUUCUGUAUCGAACGCACGCUCGAAGGAAUCGUUGCGUACGUCGUGCUGAUAUGUUGCUGAAAUGCAGGAUACUUUCCAUGAAAAAUAAAUCCGUGGCUCCGCGAGAUGCAUCGCCACCUUGUGCGAGACAUUCAUAUGGUACGAUCAAUAAUCCAGGAAGACCAGCUCGCUGUAUGGAUAUACAGCGAACGGUCUCCGGGCGUCACCGCAGACCCAUAAAA